AAGCCAUGAUGAGGGCAUUGGUUGGUGUAACCCUUGAAACGCUCCCAUGCUUCACAGAAGCUUUCACUAGUCUUCUGUGAAAAGCCAGAAAUGAAAGCUUCUGUGAAAAGCCAGAAAUUUCAUUUCUGAGUCU